GUAGGGGGCGAGCGUUGUCCGGAAUCAUUGGGCGUAAAGCGCGCGUAGGCGGCCCGGAAAGUCGGAUGUGAAAACCUGAGGCUCAACCUCAGGCCUGCAUCCGAUACUCCCGGGCUCGAGGCAGGUAGGGGAGAUCGGAAUUCCUGGUGUAGCGGUGAAAUGCGCAGAUAUCAGGAGGAACACCGGUGGCGAAGGCGGAUCUCUGGGCCUGUCCUGACGCUGAGGCGCGAAAGCUAGGGGAGCGAACAGGAUUAGAUACCCUGGUAGUCCUAGCCGUAAACGUUGGACGCUAGGUGUGGGCGGUAUCGACCCCGUCCGUGCCGAAGCUAACGCAUUAAGCGUCCCGCCUGGGGAGUACGGCCGCAAGGCUAAA
rnacentral:rRNA from 1 species